rnacentral:rRNA from 1 species
UACAGAGGAGCCAAGCGUUGUCCGGAUUGACUGGGCGUAAAGCGCACGCAGGCGGUUGCGCGCGUGGGGUGUGAAAUCUGGCCGCUUAACGGCCAGGCGCCAUCCCAUACGGCGCGACUGGAGUGAUGCAGAGGUCGAUGGAAUUGCCGGUGUAGUGGUGAAAUGCGUAGAGAUCGGGAGGAACACCAGCGGCGAAGGCGGCAACCUGGAUAGGUACUGACACUCAGCUACGAAAGCGUGGGGAGCAAACAGG